AUCAAACUGUCAACUGAAUGAAAGCGUCGCCGCAGAAAGGUAUUGAUUUUCAAAGAGAACAUACCGAAAAUGAGAAAGGCAUAUAGUCGCAAUUUUUGUCCGGGCUAUUUCUCAGCAAUUAAUGACCUGAAUUCAAUUAAACUUUAUGGGAAGCUUCACUACCAAGAGGAGAUGUGCAUAUUAUCAGCCGGUUCUGGUCGGAUGAUUUUUCACAGAGUUAUGGCCCUUUGAAAUUUUCCAUUAACUGUACAUAUAGUGCAAUUCUUGUCCGGGCUAUUUCUCAGCAACUAAUGACCGGAAUUCAAUGAAACUUUAUGGGAAGCUUCACUACCAAGAGGACAUGUGCAUAUUAUCAGCGGGUUCUAGUCAAAUGAUUUUUCACAGAGUUAUGGCCCUUUGAAGUUUUCUAUAAACUGUAAAUAUAGUGCAAUUCUUGUUCGGGCUAUUUCUCCCCAACUACUGACUGGAAUUCAAUGAAACUUUAUGGGAAGCUUAACUACCUUGAGGAGAUGCGCAUGUUAUUUAUGGGUUCUGGUUAGAUGAUUUAUUUAGAGAGUUAUGGCCCUUUGAAAUUAUUAAGUUGCUAAAUCAUCCAUUGUAUUAUUUUGUCCAAAGUUAUGCCCCUCAAGACGUUUCCUUUUAUCUGAAUAUAUAGUGCAAUAUUGUGACAAAAAAACCUUUGGGGAGCAUCACCCGUCUCUGAUGGUUUCUUGUUGAUUGAGGCUUUAGUAUGGUAUAUCAAAUAUAAAAGAUUUUUGUGGAAGUAAAAAUGGUUUUGUAUACCAUAAGCAUUAUAUUCUAUUUAUUUGCAUUUAAUAACAUUUCAAUUAGUUGAAAUAUGCAGAUACACAGCUUAUCGGGGACACUGUAUAUUGCAGUAAUAAGUUGUGAGCAUUAGCUUAAUAAUUUAAAGAAAAUAGAUAAAGAAUUAGAUACACAUAACACAACAUGUACAUGAUUAUAAGCUUUUUAUUCUUUAGCAAGGCAACCAAAAUUCUGCCAGUGCAGCAACCAAUUGUGAAAAAAGGGACAUGUUGUUGUUAUUUUGUCCAAGUUAUCUCUAUAACAUAAAUAUGAGGAUAAACAGUGCACACACAUCUCCACCUGUGCUUUCAGACACACUUUUUAUAAAUUUGAAUGAGUUGUGUUCAUUUUAAACUUGCCAUAUAAAAAGCUAUAACAUAAUUUUGAAAACUGAGUUGCGUCUAAGAUAAUGCAAUAGCAAACAACUUCAGUGCCUUCAGCGCUUUGAUUUGUCAUGCUUUCGGUUGUAAUAAGUGUAUGCAAUAAAGUAAUAGACAUUGGUUAUACAAACCCUGCAUUUGACACCCAAUAGAUUAACAAAUAAACACAUGUUCAGAACAGCAAACCCAGUGACCAAUUUGUUGCAAUUGAUUCAAAUUUUUUAAACAAAGGGUAGUCAAUCUAGUACCAAUUAACCAAGGUUGGAUUACUCACUGAUUUUUCUACAGACAGACAAUACUUUUUGUAAAACUAUCCAGUAAACAAUGCAAAAUAAAGUCCCUAUCACGACAAAGCAAAGUUAAAUACAUUUCUCAUUUAAAUUGAAAAUGUGUUUAAGUCUGAUAGUUUAAAAAAUUACAUGACAUUACAUUAUUUUUGCAUAGUUAGAAUGUUUUAUUUGUCAAUAACCUACACUGAUGUGUUCUGAUACAUGGACAUUAAAAAUUGGUUGAAUAAAAAUAACUCAUGGUUGAAUUCUUCAGAGCAAACACUCUAAAUAGUUUUUACCUGCAGAUUAACAAAGUAGUUCAAAUUGUAUUUCUACAGUUCAUUAGAGAGUCUUUGAAUGAAAUCCACACGCUAUGCUACUAUGCCUUUUUAGAUGCAAACAAAAAGUACGUCAUUUACAUGUACAGUGUAGCUCCAGGUGUGCCUCUGAUGCAUACAACAACUAAGUCAUGUACAUGUACAGUGUAGCUCCAGGUGUGCCUCUGAUGCAUACAACAACUUAGUCAUGUACAUGUACAGUGUAGCUCCAGGUGUGCCUCUGAUGCAUACAACAACUUAGUCAUGUACAUGUACAGUGUAGCUUCAGGUGUGCCUCUGAUGCAUACAACAACUAAGUCAUGUACAUGUACAGUGUAGCUCCAGGUGUGCCUCUGAUGCAUACAACAACUAAGUCAUGUACAUGUACAGUGUAGCUUCAGGUGUGCCUCUGAUGCAUACAACAACUAAGUCAUGUACAUGUACAGUGUAGCUCCAGGUGUGCCUCUGAUGCAUACAACAACUAAGUCAUGUACAUGUGCAGUGUAGCUUCAGGUGUGCCACUGAUGCAUACAAGAACUUAGUCAUGUACAUGUACAGUGUAGCUCCAGGUGUGCCUCUGAUGCAUACAGAAACUAAGUCAUGUACAUGUACAGUGUAGCUCCAGGUGUGCCUCUGAUGCAUACAGCAACUAAGUCAUGUACAUGUACAGUGUAGCUCCAAGUGUGCCUCUGAUGCAUACAACAACUAAGUCAUUUACAUGUACAGUGUAGCUCCAGGUGUGCCUCUGAUGCAUACAGCAACUAAGUCAUGUACAUGUACAGUGUAGCUCCAGGAGUGCCUCGGAUGCAUACAACAACUAAGUCAUUUACAUGUACAGUGUAGCUCCAGGUGUGCCUCUGAUGCAUACAACAACUAAGUCAUGUACAUGUACAGUGUAGCUCCAGGUGUGCCUCUGAUGCAUACAACAACUUAGUCAUGUACAUGUACAGUGUAGCUCCAGGUGUGCCUCUGAUGCAUACAACAACUAAGUCAUGUACAUGUACAGUGUAGCUCCAGGUGUGCCUCUGAUGCAUACAACAACUAAGUCAUGUACAUGUACAGUGUAGCUCCAGGUGUGCCUCUGAUGCAUACAACAACUAAGUCAUGUACAUGUACAGUGUAGCUUCAGGUGUGCCUCUGAUGCAUACAACAACUAAGUCAUGUACAUGUACAGUGUAGCUUCAGGUGUGCCUCUGAUGCAUACAACAACUAAGUCAUGUACAUGUGCAGUGUAGCUUCAGGUGUGCCUCUGAUGCAUACAACAACUAAGUCAUGUACAUGUACAGUGUAGCUUCAGGUGUGCCUCUGAUGCAUACAACAACUAAGUCAUGUACAUGUACAGUGUAGCUUCAGACAUGCCUCUACAUCUGUAUACUCUGAUGAAGAGUAAUAAUGUCCACUAAUGGGAUCACAAAGACUUGUGUGACUUUAUAGGGUAUAUGGUAGCUCAAGAUCAGACUGCGUUAAUAUAAAUGGCAUAAUACCCAUUUUUAGCUGGGCUGUUUUCUGCGAAAACCCGAGGUAUUGUCCUAGCCAGCUCGGUCGCCAUCCACAUCGUGCUAAAACCUUAACAUUGGCUCUAAAAUCAAAGUGCUUCCACCUACAACUUUGAAACUUCAUAUGUAGCUGCACCUUGAUGAGUUCUACAUGCCACACCCAUUUUUGGGUCACUAGGUCAAAUGUCAAGAUCACUGUGACCUCUUAAAAAAAAACAAAAAAACAAAUGCACCCACAGCCCAGCGUUGGCACCCGCUAUGCGGUGCUCUGGUUUCAAGACAUGGCUGAAAUGACAUUUCUUUACUGACUCCUGUACAUUCAAGCACUACCUUUCGGUAAUGACCUCUGUACAAUAAGGCACAGGAAGAUUGUGUGGAUGUCUAUACUGACUCGUGUACAUUCAUGCAUUGUAUCUUUACUGACUGCUGUAC